UAAGCCAAGAAACAGAAGGGGCACUGUGCUUAUGAACUGAUGAGAACAGAAAUUCCUUCAAGAAAGAACAGAAUUCAGGGAGCUGCUGCCCAAGGUGACACAUUUGGGUGGAAGAGGCUGGAGGGCUUGUACCUUGCAGGGAAAAUCUGCGGAGUGUUCACAUGUGGCUUUAACAACCCCAUCCGGAGCACUAAGGACACCUCCCUGGAGACUGGGGGAUCUGGGUACCAGGGUUUCUGCUGUUGCCUAGAGCUGGGGACCAGAUCCUCAGACACGACUUCCUCAACAAAGGCGGUAUGAUCUACGUGCAGAGGAGGCAGUGGCCACAGUGCACAGGCCUGAGGCCUGGGUGACCUCACCCAGCCACAGCCCAAGCUGGCAUGGUCAUCCAGCAGUAUGGCCACCAUGCACAAAGUGCCCCCAGGCUCUGGUUCUCACUGGCAUGCUGACUGUUUCCUCACCAGGCACCUCUGCUGUACAUUAUGGUCUUUCCUAAUAUGUGAUAGCAAGAUUACACUUGUCCAGAGAUCUCUUCUCUGGCCACCUCAAAUUUCCCCCAAAAGACUUAGAGAACUGCAGAGCAUAUGAAAAAGUUGAGAGUCCAGAAUGAAACAGAUGUGGGUGACUCGAAGAGGGGACUUUGGUGUCCCAGGCACUUUUUUCUUUAUGGGACAGCGCCCCUUGCUUGGAGGCUUUGGACUCAGUUCUAACAAGCACGGUUAUCCAGUUUCCCAGACCACGGCAGAUGCAGAGGAAACCCAAGGAGGUGAAAGAGGUGCCACUCGCUGCUGGAGGCUAUGAUGGUGGCUGGCUAGGGUGCAGGCUGAAAAUGACCCAGUGACAGUUUAUGGCCAUUAGGGGUGGGGCAAGCAGCUUGGACACCUCCAUACCUGAGCUCAGCACCGAGGGCUCCUAAUCAUGACUUGCAGUCAUCAAGAUGGAUUGGACUGUAUUAGAUUACAUUCAAUACUCGGUUGAGCACUCAGCCAAGCACGUAUUGGAUCCAGGAGUGAAAUGAGGUGAGACCACCUCAUCCAGUCGUGGGGCAAGACUCCCAGCUGUCACUGCAGAAAGCCCCACAGUGGGUCACAAGGCAGGGAUCUGGUCCACUUUUGCCUAAGAUAGUGGACCUGGGCAUGGCCUCAACCUCUCAGAAUCCCACCCACGAAAUGAAGAGAACAUCUGCCCUGCCAGUGAAAUCAUCAGGUGAAAUCAUCUGUACACAUCAGAAGCACUUUUUUUUUUUUUUUGAGACAGUCUCGCUCUGCCAUCCAGGCUGGAGUGCAGUGGCACAAUCUCAGCUCACUGCAACCUCCACCUCCUGGGUUCAA
rnacentral:lncRNA from 10 species